CCUACGGGAGGCAGCAGUGGGGAAUAUUGGACAAUGAGGGCAACCCUGAUCCAGCCAUGCCGCGUGUGUGAAGAAGGCCCUCGGGUUGUAAAGCACUUUCAGUGAGGAAGAACGCCUGGUGGUUAAUACCCAUCAGGAAAGACAUCACUCACAGAAGAAGCACCGGCUAACUCCGUGCCAGCAGCCGCGGUAAUACGGAGGGUGCGAGCGUCAAUCGGAAUUACUGGGCGUAAAGCGCGCGUAGGUGGCUUGAUAAGCCGGUUGUGAAAGCCCCGGGCUCAACCUGGGAACGGCAUCCGGAACUGUCAAGCUAGAGUGCAGGAGAGGAAGGUAGAAUUCCCGGUGUAGCGGUGAAAUGCGUAGAGAUCGGGAGGAAUACCAGUGGCGAAGGCGGCCUUCUGGACUGACACUGACACUGAGGUGCGAAAGCGUGGGUAGCAAACAGGAUUAGAUACCCGAGUAGUC
rnacentral:rRNA from 1 species